rnacentral:rRNA from 1 species
GAGGAAUAUUGGUCAAUGGACGAGAGUCUGAACCAGCCAAGUAGCGUGAAGGAUGACUGCCCUAUGGGUUGUAAACUUCUUUUAUACGGGAAUAAAGUUAGCCACGUGUGGCUUUUUGUAUGUACCGUAUGAAUAAGGAUCGGCUAACUCCGUGCCAGCAGCCGCGGUAAUACGGAGGAUCCGAGCGUUAUCCGGAUUUAUUGGGUUUAAAGGGAGCGUAGGCGGGUUGUUAAGUCAGUUGUGAAAGUUUGCGGCUCAACCGUAAAAUUGCAGUUGAUACUGGCGACCUUGAGUGCAACAGAGGUAGGCGGAAUUCGUGGUGUAGCGGUGAAAUGCUUAGAUAUCACGAAGAACUCCGAUUGCGAAGGCAGCUUACUGGAUUGUAACUGACGCUAAUGCUCGAAAGUGUGGGUAUCAAACAGGAUUAGAUACCCUGGUAGUCCACACAGUAAACGAUGAAUACUCGCUGUUGGCGAUAUACGGUCAGCGGCCAAGCGAAAGCAUUAAGUAUUCCACCUGGGGAGUACGCCGGCAACGGUGAAACUCAAAGGAAUUGACGGGGGCCCGCACAAGCGGAGGAACAUGUGGUUUAAUUCGAUGAUACGCGAGGAACCUUACCCGGGCUUAAAUUGCAACUGACUGAACCGGAAACGGUUCUUUCUUCGGACAGUUGUGAAGGUGCUGCAUGGUUGUCGUCAGCUCGUGCCGUGAGGUGUCGGCUUAAGUGCCAUAACGAGCGCAACCCUUAUCGAUAGUUACUAGCAGGUCAUGCUGAGGACUCUAUUGAGACUGCCGUCGUAAGAUGUGAGGAAGGUGGGGAUGACGUCAAAUCAGCACGGCCCUUACGUCCGGGGCUACACACGUGUUACAAUGGGGGGUACAGAAGGCAGCUACACGGCGACGUGGUGCUAAUCCCGAAAGCCUCUCUCAGUUCGGAUUGGAGUCUGCAACCCGACUCCAUGAAGCUGGAUUCGCUAGUAAUCGCGCAUCAGCCACGGCGCGGUGAAUACGUUCCCG